UACGAGGGGGGGCAAGCGUUACUCGGAAUUACUGGGCGUAAAGCGUGCGUAGGUGGUUUUGUUAAGUCUGUUGUGAAAGCCCCGGGCUCAACCUGGGAAUGGCAAUGGAUACUGGCAGGCUAGAGUGCGGUAGAGGGUAGUGGAAUUCCCAGUGUAGAGGUGAAAUUCGUAGAUAUUGAGAAGAACACCGGUGGCGAAGGCGGCGACCUGGUCCGAUACUGACGCUGAGGCGCGAAAGCGUGGGGAGCAAACAGG
rnacentral:rRNA from 1 species